CCUGAUUCAGCGGCGGACGGGUGAGUAAUGCCUAGGAAUCUGCCCGAUAGUGGGGGACAACGUUUCGAAAGGAACGCUAAUACCGCAUACGUCCUACGGGAGAAAGUGGGGGAUCUUCGGACCUCACGCUAUCGGAUGAGCCUAGGUCGGAUUAGCUAGUUGGUGAGGUAAUGGCUCACCAAGGCGACGAUCCGUAACUGGUCUGAGAGGAUGAUCAGUCACACUGGAACUGAGACACGGUCCAGACUCCUACGGGAGGCAGCAGUGGGGAAUAUUGGACAAUGGGCGAAAGCCUGAUCCAGCCAUGCCGCGUGUGUGAAGAAGGUCUUCGGAUUGUAAAGCACUUUAAGUUGGGAGGAAGGGCAGUAAGCUAAUACCUUGCUGUUUUGACGUUACCAACAGAAUAAGCACCGGCUAACUUCGUGCCAGCAGCCGCGGUAAUACGAAGGGUGCAAGCGUUAAUCGGAAUUACUGGGCGUAAAGCGCGCGUAGGUGGUUCAGCAAGUUGGAUGUGAAAUCCCCGGGCUCAACCUGGGAACUGCAUCCAAAACUACUGAGCUAGAGUACGGUAGAGGGUGGUGGAAUUUCCUGUGUAGCGGU
rnacentral:rRNA from 1 species